rnacentral:rRNA from 1 species
CGGACGGGUGAGUAAUGUCUGGGAAACUGCCUGAUGGAGGGGGAUAACUACUGGAAACGGUAGCUAAUACCGCAUAACGUCGCAAGACCAAAGAGGGGGACCUUCGGGCCUCUUGCCAUCGGAUGUGCCCAGAUGGAAUUAGCUAGUAGGUGGGGUAACGGCUCACCUAGGCGACGAUCCCUAGCUGGUCUGAGAGGAUGACCAGCCACACUGGAACUGAGACACGGUCCAG